UCCAGACUCCUACGGGAGGCAGCAGUGGGGGAUAUUGCACAAUGGGGGAAACCCUGAUGCAGCGACGCCGCGUGGGCGAAGAAGUAUUUCGGUAUGUAAAGCCCUAUCAGCAGGGAAGAAGAAAUGACGGUACCUGAGUAAGAAGCACCGGCUAAAUACGUGCCAGCAGCCGCGGUAAUACGUAGGGGGCAAGCGUUAUCCGGAUUCACUGGGUGUAAAGGGAGCGUAGACGGCGACGCAAGUCUGGAGUGAAAGCCCGGGGCCCAACCCCGGGACUGCUCUGGAAACUGCGUCGCUGGAGUACGGGAGGGGCAGGCGGAAUUCCUGGUGUAGCGGUGAAAUGCGUAGAUAUCAGGAGGAACACCGGCGGCGAAGGCGGCCUGCUGGACCGUGACUGACGUUGAGGCUCGAGAGCGUGGGGAGCAAACAGGAUUAGAUACCCUUGUACUU
rnacentral:rRNA from 1 species